UUUGUCAAUANUGUGGCCCAUUAAACAUUGCUUGGUCUUGAGAAUGUAGAAGCUAAUGUGAGCACGGGUUCUUCGUUGGAGCCUUGUUCCAUCCUUUUUUAGCGUUCACGCAUCUCUAAAAUGACAUCCCNUCAUGUAGUGGCUCGUACCAGCAUGNUGGGUUUUGUCUAAGAGGAAUGCUACCUGGUUGAUCCUGCCAGUAGUCAUA
rnacentral:misc_RNA from 1 species